rnacentral:tRNA from 1 species
GUAAUAGUUAACUAUAACAUUUGAAUUGCAAUCAAAAAGUAUUGAAAAUCAAUUUACCU